rnacentral:rRNA from 1 species
AUUGAACGCUGGCGGCAUGCCUUACACAUGCAAGUCGAACGGUAGCACGGGAGCAAUCCUGGUGGCGAGUGGCGAACGGGUGAGUAAAGUAUCGGAACGUGCCCAGUCGUGGGGGAUAACGUAGCGAAAGUUACGCUAAUACCGCAUACGAUCUAUGGAUGAAAGCGGGGGAUCGCAAGACCUCGCGCGAUUGGAGCGGCCGAUAUCAGAUUAGGUAGUUGGUGGGGUAAAGGCUCACCAAGCCGACGAUCUGUAGCUGGUCUGAGAGGACGACCAGCCACACUGGGACUGAGACACGGCCCAGACUCCUACGGGAGGCAGCAGUGGGGAAUUUUGGACAAUGGGCGAAAGCCUGAUCCAGCCAUGCCGCGUGCAGGAUGAAGGCCUUCGGGUUGUAAACUGCUUUUGUACGGAACGAAAAGGUUUGGCCUAAUAAGCUGAGCUCAUGACGGUACCGUAAGAAUAAGCACCGGCUAACUACGUGCCAGCAGCCGCUGUAA